rnacentral:misc_RNA from 1 species
UGCCAUUGUCAAUUAAGUAAAAAAGAAAGCACAUUAAAAUAUGUAGAAUAAUCAUCAACAGACCAAUAAUAUACUAAUUGACCACCAUAACCCAAAAGUUGAUAGUGGAACACAACAAUAGUUCAUCCCCAAGCCGAGCAGACUAGAAAAAUAGUUUGAACUCACUCAUGAAUUUUUCUAAAUUUGAAUGAUAAUCAUUGAAUUCCCAUCAGUGGCUCAACUUAAUUGACCCACGGAAAAUGUCAAAACCAAUGAAAAAAAAAAAGAUUGGUUCUAUCAUUCAUUAACGCGCCAGAUAUAAUCCUAGAAUGAAUCUGGCUUCCAAUACAGCUCCUCAAUAGACACAUCCACAUA